rnacentral:tRNA from 1 species
GCCUGGCUGGUUCAGUUGGUAGAGCAUGUGACUACUGAUCUCAGGGUCAUAAGUUCAAGCCCCAUGUUGGGCG